rnacentral:rRNA from 1 species
UACGGAGGGUGCAAACGUUGCUAGGAAUUAUUGGGCGUAAAGCGCACGUAGGCGGUCUCAUAAGUCGGAUGUGAAAGCCCGGGGCUCAACCCCGGAAGUGCAUUCGAAACUGCGAGGCUUGAGUAUGGAAGAGGGUCGCGGAAUUCCCGGUGUAGAGGUGAAAUUCGUAGAUAUCGGGAGGAACACCAGUGGCGAAGGCGGCGACCUGGGCCAAUACUGACGCUGAGGUGAGAAAGCGUGGGGAGCAAACAGG